ACCAAUGACUACGACGUCAAAAUGCGCAACGUUUUCAAAUUUCUGGACAACGGCGACAAAGUAAAGAUUACUUUGCGGUUCCGUGGUCGCGAAAUGGCGCACCAGAACCUUGGCCGCGAGCUGCUGGAGCGUGUUGCUGAAGACACCAAAGAGCACGGCAAGAUUGAGAACUUCCCGAAGAUGGAAGGCCGCCAGAUGGUCAUGAUCAUCGGGCCAUUGCCGCAAAAAUAAGUCGCUCGCGACAUUCUAAUUUGAAAGCGCGGCACUUAAUUGUGCGGCGCUUUUUCGUUUAAAGGCAGCCGGUUAACGCCCUACCCUUGGCGUA
rnacentral:misc_RNA from 1 species